CAGGUUGUAAAAAUUCAGGUAAAAAAAAUUCAGGUCGAAAAAUUUCAGGGAAACAUCCGGGGUACACAGAAUGACCAAUCAAGCGCAGAGCUAAUCGAGCUCACAGCGGCCAAUCACAACACAGCUCUGAAGCCUGUGGGAGCUGCGUCUUUUUUCACCUGUGGAGAAGCUCCGUGGCAGCUGCUGGGAGAACACAGCUCCUACAGUCAUUUGUCUGAUGUUUGCAGACUCUGGGGAAACCACUCCACAUCAUGCUUUGGAAGCUGCUUUGCCUCCUAAAUGGGUACAAACGAAGUUUAAAACAUUUUGUUGCCAAUAAAUGACAGUAUCUAUUUUAUGUUCUUUGGCUGUCACCUACUUGUAUUGCUAAGAUAAGGUCAGAACAGUCUGAUAUAAUGUACAAACAGUAGUAUGAAAAAGUCUGGGCACCCCUGAUCAUUUUCAAAAAUGUUCUUUAUAAGUCGUUGGUAGUUUGGAUCAGCAAUUUCAGUAAAAUAUAUCAUAAAGCAGAUGAGAAGACAGUGAUAUUUGAGAAAUGAAAUGAAGUUUAUAUGAUUUAUUGAAAGUGUUCAAUAAUUCUUUACAAAAGCCAGGUGCAGAAAUUUGGGCAUCCCAAAAGAAAAAUUACAUCCAUAUUUAGUAGCUCCUUGUUUUGCAGAUUAGCAGCCUAUAAACACUUUCUGUAGCUUCCAAUGAGAGUCUGGCUUCUGGUUAAAGGAAUAUUUUACCAUUUUUCUUCAUUUCCAGUUCAGUCAGGUUUAAUGGUUUCUGAUCAUGAACAGCCCGCUUUAAAUCACACCACAGAUUUUCAAUAAUAUCCAAGUUUGGGAACUGAGAUGAUCAUUCCAGAAUGUCAUACUUGUUCCUCUGCAUGAAUUCUUAAGUAGAUUUUGAUCAGAGUUUAGUGUUUUAGAGUCGUUGUCUUUAAAAAUAUUCCCAGUACCUGCACUCACCAUACAGCCCUGCAGUAUGAUGGAACUGGCAAAUGUAAAUUUUUUUCCCUCUUCCCCACCAUGCACACCGUCACUGAUGUUUAAAUAACUCAGUUUUAGUUUCAUCAGCCCACAGCACCGUAUGCUAAAAUUAAACUGGCUGUCCAAAUCUGCUUUAGCAUACCUCAAGCGACUGUGGCGUGUGCACAGAAAAGGCUUCUUCUGCAUUUCUCUCUCAUACAGCCUCUACUUGUGCAAAGUGUGCUAAAUGGUUUGAAGAUGCACAGUGACUCCAUCUUCAGUAAGAUGAUGAUAUAGGUCUUUGGAGCUGGUCUGUGGGUUGACUAUGACUGUUCUCGCCAUCCUUCGUCUCUGCUCCAAACUGUGCCUGUGGUCUUCCCUUUCCUCACUAUGUUUCUCACAGUGGAAACUGACAGCUGAAAUCUCUGAGCUUUUUGCAUCCUUCCCCAAAAACAUGAAAAAUCUUUGUUUUCAAUUAAUUUUAUAGUUGUGUUUUGAGGCUGCCAUGUUGCCACUCUUCAGAGAAGAUGUAAAGAGGAGGAAAAACUUGCAAUUGGCUACAUGAACCCUUUCUGAUAAUUAGAUUCACUUGUGUAUGUAGGUCAAGGGUCAAUGAGCUUACCAAACUAAUUUUGUGUUCCAAUAAUUAGUGCUAAAUAUAUUAAAAUCAAUACAACAAGGGUGCCCAAAGGUAUCCAUCUGCCUAUUUUUGUUUAAGGAAUAAUUACGCACUUUCUGUAAAAAAUAAACUUAAUUUUACUUCAAAUAUCACUGUGUUCGUCUGCUAUAUGAUAUAUUUAACUGAAAUUGCUGAUCCCAACAACCAAUGAUUUAUAAAAGAAAAUCAUGAAAAAUAUCAGGGGUGCUCAAAAGCUUUCAUACCACUGUAUUUGAUUUUUUUUUUCAUUCGUUAUUGCCUGCAAUGGAUGCGACAAGUGCUUCCAUCAUUCCUGUGUAGGAAACCCACCUGAAGAAGAGGAGUUCCUUUGCCCAUUAUGUAAACAUUAAAUUGCAUAUACAAUGCUCAAAAAAAUAAAGGGAACACUCAAAUAACACAUCCUAGAUCUGAAUGAAUGAAAUAUUCUCAUUGAAUACUUUGUUCUGUACAAAGUUGAAUGUGCUGACAACAAAAUCACACAAAAAUCAUCAAUGGAAAUCAAAUUUAUUAACCAAUGGAGGCUUGGAUUUGGAGCCAUACACAAAAUUAAAGUGAAAAAACACACUACAGGCUGAUCCAACUUUAAUGUAAUGUCCUUAAAACAAGUCAAAAUGAGGCUCAGUAUUGUGUGUGGCCUCCACGUGCCUGUAUGACCUCCGUACAACGCCUGGGCAUGCUCCUGAUGAGGUGGCGGAUGGUCUCCUGAGGGAUCUCCUCCCAGACCUGGACUAAAGCAUCCGCCAACUCCUGGACAGUCUGUGGUGCAACGUGACAUUGGUGGAUGGAGCGAGACAUGAUGUCCCAGAUGUGCUCAAUCGGAUUCAGGUCUGGGGAACGGGCGGGCCAGUCCAUAGCUUCAAUGCCUUCAUCUUGCAGGAACUGCUGACACACUCCAGCCACUUGAGGUCUAGCAUUGUCCUGCAUUAGGAGGAACCCAGGGCCAACCGCACCAGCAUAUGGUCUCACAAGGGGUCUGAGGAUCUCAUCUCGGUACCUAAUGGCAGUCAGGCUACCUCUGGUGAGCACAUGGAGGGCUGUGCGGCCCUCCAAAAAAUGCCACCCCAAUGCCACCCCACACCAUUACUGACCCACUGCCAAACCGGUCAUGCUGAAGGAUGUUGCAGGCAGCAGACCGCUCUCCACGGCGUCUCCAGACUCUGUCACGUCUGUCAUGUGCUCAGUGUGAACCUGCUUUCAUCUGUGAAGAGCACAAGGCGCCAGUGGCGAAUUUGCCAAUCCUGGUGUUCUCUGGCAAAUGCCAAGCGUCCUGCACGGUGUUGGGCUGUGAGCACAACCCCCAUCUGUGGACGUCGGGCCCUCAUACCAUCCUCAUGGAGUCGGUUUCUAACCGUUUGUGCAGACACAUGCACAUUUGUGGCCUGCUGGAGGUCAUUUUGCAGGGCUCUGGCAGUGCUCCUCCUGUUCCUUCUUGCACAAAGGCGGAGGUAGCGGUCCUGCUGCUGGGUUGUUGCCCUCCUACGUCUCCUGGUGUACUGGCCUGUCUCCUGGUAGCGCCUCCAGCCUCUGGACACUACGCUGACAGACACAGCAAACCUUCUUGCCACAGCUCGCAUUGAUGUGCCAUCCUGGAUGAGCUGCACUACCUGAGCCACUUGUGUGGGUUGUAGAGUCCGUCUCAUGCUACCACGAGUGUGAAAGCACCACCAACAUUCAAAACUGACCAAAACAUCAGCCAGACAGCAUAGGUUCUGAGAAGUGGUCUGUGGUCCCCACCUGCAGAACCACUCCUUUAUUGAGUGUGUCUUGCUAAUUGCCAAUAAUUUCCACCUGUUGUCUAUUCCAUUUGCACAACAGCAGGUGAAAUUGAUUGUCAAUCAGUGUUGCUUCCUAAGUGGACAGUUUAAUUUCACAGAGGUUUGAUUUACUUGGAGUUAAAUUAUGUUAUUUGAGUGUUCCCUUUAUUUUUUUGAGCAGUGUAUAUUGACCUCCUAAAAAGUGACUGAGCUAAUUCAGGUCCAGGUAGUUUGUCCCAGUAAUCUCACAAUUAAUUAUAUGGAGUUCAGUGAUGAGAGCUUUCAGACAGGUGUCUUUAUACUGCACUCAGCUGAUCCCCAUUUCUGAGAGACUAGUAACACCAACUACCUGAAAUUGGAUAAUUAAUACUUUUAUACAAUCACUUACGUUUUAUAUAUCUAUACACUGACAUUUUGUGUAUUUGACCGCUUAAGCCAAAUGUGAUAGACAUUGUACUUUUAUUUUAUGUAAAUAAAUGUGUAAACCCUUCAACUAA